rnacentral:rRNA from 1 species
GGGGAAUUUUGGACAAUGGGGGCAACCCUGAUCCAGCCAUCCCGCGUGUGCGAUGAAGGCCUUCGGGUUGUAAAGCACUUUUGUCAGGGAAGAAACAGCGCGGGCUAAUAUUCUGCGCGAAUGACGGUACCUGAAGAAUAAGCACCGGCUAACUACGUGCCAGCAGCCGCGGUAAUACGUAGGGUGCAAGCGUUAAUCGGAAUUACUGGGCGUAAAGGGUGCGCAGGCGGUUUAUCAAGAAAGGUGUGAAAUCCCCGGGCUCAACCUGGGAAUGGCACUUUUAACUGAUAGGCUAGAGUAUGUCAGAGGGGGGUAGAAUUCCACGUGUAGCAGUGAAAUGCGUAGAGAUGUGGAGGAAUACCGAUGGCGAAGGCAGCCCCCUGGGAUAAUACUGACGCUCAUGCACGAAAGCGUGGGGAGCAAAC